GAUGAACGCUGGCGGCGUGCCUAAUACAUGCAAGUCGAGCGAACGGACGAGAAGCUUGCUUCUCUGAUGUUAGCGGCGGACGGGUGAGUAACACGUGGAUAACCUACCUAUAAGACUGGGAUAACUUCGGGAAACCGGAGCUAAUACCGGAUAAUAUUUUGAACCGCAUGGUUCAAAAGUGAAAGACGGUCUUGCUGUCACUUAUAGAUGGCUCCGCGCUGCAUUAGCAAGUUGGUAAGGUAACGGCUUACCAAGGCAACGAUGCAUAGCCGACCUGAGAGGGUGCUCGCACACACUGACACAGACACGCGGUCCACACCCAUACGGGGGGCAGCAGUGGGAUAUCUGCCGAUAGGCGAAAACCUCUGCCAGAGCAGCCCCGCGUGAGUGAAGGGGGUUUUCGGUUCGUAAAACUCUGUUAUUGGGGAAAAACAAGUGUGUAAGUACCUGGGCACAUUUUGGCGGUCCAUAAUAAGAACGCCGCGUCUAUUUGCG
rnacentral:rRNA from 1 species